GUGAAUAAUUCCUGAAGGCAACCCGUCGCUAAGUAUUUAAAGGGGGUGCGUCGGGGUAUUGGAUUCAUUCAGAUUUCUAAUUUCUCCUUUCUUUCUAAUAUUCUCUCUCUAUUAUAUAAUUAGUCCCUUCCUUUUCUUAUUAGGAUAAGUCCAAAAUAGUAAGGACAAGUUUAAUUUUAGAACAAGAGUCUAGGAAGAGAAUUAAGGAAGACAAAGAGAGAAAAAAGGUAGGGAUAGGAAGGCUAGGAG
rnacentral:lncRNA from 1 species